GCUGCACUAUGAGUUCCUGCAUGGUUUCAGUGCCAUUUCAUAUUUGUCUCAAGUCAUAGGCGUCUUUUCUUGAUCCGCUGGCUGCCUGCCCCAAAAGACACUGUGAAAAAGCCCUGUCUCGGGGGACAAACCAGCUCUAGGGGCACAACCUGUGCACCAAAAUACAACAAACCACUCCAGCCAAUCACUGACAAGAUGGCUGGGGGAGGGGGUGGGGGUUAGCUACAGUUAGUCAUGACAGUUAAAGA